GAAGCAGAGAAGACAGCUGUUUUGAAACGCAGGCUAAAUAAGUGGUUAAAUGCACAUUUUCUAAGGGCAAACUUCUAGGGUUUAUACCCUACUACAGUAGACAGAAAAUUGAGCUUUACUUUCCUCACGCACAAAAUGGAGAUAACAGCGCCAUUGAGAAUAUUAAAGGAGACAAACCAGGUAAACUCAGAAGAGUGUCUGGAAUACAAUAAGCACUCAGUUUAUGUUAGCUAUUAUUAUAAUUUCUGACCUAGGGUUGUGUUUUACUCGGUAGGUCUAACAGAGGGAAAAGGGUGCAAGAGUGUAAUGGUUGAAGUGAUGGAAGCUGACUGGGAGAGAGAACAGCCAAGGGAUUGGAGUUCUUGAAGCUGAAGUACAGAUGCACUGGAAGUCAUUCAGCUAAAAAGCUAGAAAAAUGGGCAAAGAGCAGAAGAGUUUUUUAAGUUUUUAAGGGUGUAGCUGCUGACAUAAAUAAUUAUAAGAUUCAGAGACUGGGUGGCUUCAUGAAAAGGUAAAGGUCACUAAAUUUGAGGUCAAGCAGUUGAGAGCCAGGAUAUUGGUUUAGUUAACCACAUGGAAUUUGAAGUGACCGUCAUAAAGGUGGGACUUGGGGAGAAGAGGGUAACUAUAAGCCAGGUGCCAAAGUCUUCAGUGAAUGAAAUGAAAUGAAUGGGAAUGGCAGGGACAGGAAGUUCAGAAAAUAAUAAAGUCAUAUUGUAUAAGCACAUCUAAAGAAGGAUGCCAGCUGCUCUCCCCAGAUCCAACUGAUGCUAGCUGGUGGGAAAAGACCACAGACCCAAGGCUGCUAAAUAUCUUGCGAUGUUUAAGAGAGUAUAAUGACAAUACAGCAACCUGACCUAUCCAAAAUGUUACUACUGCUCCUGCUGAGAAAUACAGCCAUCAAACUGUUUAGAGUGCCUUCUCAAAGAAGCCUGGCUAUUUCACAUGUCAUGGCAUCUCUGAAGCCCUUUCGAAGGAUCAUUUGUGUCCUCUCUCUACCCCUACACAUACGUCCACCACAGUAUGGCUCAUACUUUAUGUAUUUUUUUUUUGAUUGAUUGAUUGAUCGACUGGAGACAAGGUCUCACUCUGUCACC
rnacentral:lncRNA from 1 species